rnacentral:rRNA from 1 species
AGCAGUAGCCACGGUAAUACGUAGGUGGCAAGCGUUGUCCGGAAUUAUUGGGCGUAAAGGGCUCGCAGGCGGUUUCUUAAGUCUGAUGUGAAAGCCCCCGGCUCAACCGGGGAGGGUCAUUGGAAACUGGGAAACUUGAGUGCAGAAGAGGAGAGUGGAAUUCCACGUGUAGCGGUGAAAUGCGUAGAGAUGUGGAGGAACACCAGUGGCGAAGGCGACUCUCUGGUCUGUAACUGACGCUGAGGAGCGAAAGCGUGGGGAGCGAACAGGAUUAGAUACCCCGGUAGUCCCUGUCUCUUAUAC